rnacentral:rRNA from 1 species
CAAAUGACUCUCGGCAAUGGAUAUCUCGGCUCUUGCAUCGAUGAAGAACGUAGUGAAAUGCGAUACUUGGUGUGAAUUGCAGAAUCUCGUGAACCAUUGAGUCUUUGAACGCAAGUUGUGCCAGCG